AUUGAACGCUGGCGGCAGGCCUAACACAUGCAAGUCGAACGAGUGGCGGACUGGUGUGUAAUGUCUGUGAAACUGCCUGCUGGAGGGGGAUAACUACUGUAAACGGUAGCUAAUACCGCUUACCAUCGUAUGUCCCCAGAUGGGAUUAGCUAGUAGGUGGGGUAAAGGCUCACCUAGGCGACGAUCCCUAUCUGGUCUGAGAGGAUGACCAGCCACACUGGAACUGAGACACGGUCCAGACUCCUACGGGAGGCAGCAGUGGGGAAUAUUGCACAAUGGGCGCAAGCCUGAUGCAGCCAUGCCGCGUGUGUGAAGAAGGCCUUCGGGUUGUAAAGCACUUUCAGCGGGGAGGCGUUACCCGCAGAAGAAGCACCGGCUAACUCCGUGCCAGCCGCCGCGGUAAUAG
rnacentral:rRNA from 1 species